CUCCCCCGACUCUUCGUUGACGCUCUCAGCCAUUGCUUGGCUCUCUGCAGCCACGCCACUAUUGCCUGCUCACUUGCACUCAGGCAUAACAUAUAACAGCAGGGCGAGAGAGCUGUCAUGCAGCUUUGUGGCCAUUGACUUCGUGUCUCUUUAUUUUGUUUGCAAUUAAAGUUCAUAAAAAGUCAAUUAAACACACGUGGAUUGCAGUUAAUAUAUGGAGAGAGACUGUGCAAGUGUUUGAUGGUGGAAAAAGAUGAAUGCCUGCACCAAUAUGGCUGCUAAUAGGGUCCAGAGCAGAGUCUCGCAUCCGUCCCCCCCUCCAGGCACCGCUUCUUCGUAUCUUAAUUGGCACCCAUGGGGGGGGAGGAGGAGACGGAGGAUCGUGCAAAGCAGCAGCGACGACCCCUAUGAACAUUAAAAAGAAAGAGACCCAGAGUCCCGGCCUGGGACUGGGACUGGGUUUUGGGUCUCGGCAGCAUAAUGCCCAAUCAUCUUGACUUCUGCUUACAGCUGCUUGCUGCUGCUGGCCGUCCCAUUGUCCUCGUCUUUGGAUCAUAAAAGUUUAUGACAUCCGACGAAAACUAACGAAACGUUCGAAAAUUCAAACUUUUUGCUGUUAACGAAGAAGCCCCCGGUUGCGUCUCCUCGCUGGGAUAUGCUGCCUGCCGAUCAAUUCCCAGUUGGCGUUGUAUGUCUCUAUUAGCGCUGGACAAUGGAGGACGAUGUGCAGCAUCCAGCGGAGUGGAUGUGGCUGCUGCAAAAGAUUAUAAAUUGAAUGCCAUAUAAGUCAGGCAUCUCCAUAUAUAGAUAUCUACACAUAUGUUCGAUCCAAUCAAGCUGAAACUAUCCAUACCCCCUCUCUGGUUACGCCUCUGUUCCCUCUUUUGUGCACACAUCUUUGACUUUUAUAUAUUUAUUGCUGUGAAAAAAUGUUAAUUCUUGAACGUUA